GCCUGGGUGGCUCAGUCGGUUAAGUGUCUGACUCGGUUUUGGCUCAGGUCAUGAUCUCACAGUUUGUGGGUUCAAGCCCCACAUCAGGCU
rnacentral:tRNA from 1 species